GUGUCAAGCUCUGUGCUUGACAAAUGAGAAUGGUUGGUGUUGGUGGUGGACUUUGUGCUUCACUAACUGGCACCGACAAUUACUCUUUGUGCUUCACCAACUUGUACCUCCUCGUGAAUUCUGUGUCACUCACCCAAUUAGCAUAUCUUUGUGUAUGCUCCACUGGUUGCCAUGCUCUACAUCCAGUUGAUAAGUAAGAACGGAGAUGGCACAUGAGCAUAUCUUUAUCCACAAAAUGGAUGAACCAAAUAGACACUAUCCAUCAAUGUAAACGAGCUAGUUAAAUUCAAUUACGGUGAAACAUUGACAAGACAGCGAUAGUUGACGUGGAGACCCAACUGAAGUGGGAAGCAACAAGGACGUCUUCCUGAAAAGCAAAACAAAAAGUAAAAGCAACUAUUUCAAGAAGGAAAGCGUUUUCAAGUCAUUAACCGCUGUUAU